UCCCUGGCAGUCCAGUGGCUAAGACUCCACACUCCCAAGGUAGAGGGUUCAGGUUCGAUCCCUGGUCAGGGAA
rfam:Ovis aries breed Texel chromosome 3, whole genome shotgun sequence.